rnacentral:rRNA from 1 species
CCGCGUGAGUGAAGAAGGCCUUCGGGUUGUAAAGCUCUGUUAUUCGGGAAGAACGAUUCGUUUGUAAAUAAUGAACGGAAGUGACGGUACCGAAAGAGAAAGCCACGGCUAACUACGUGCCAGCAGCCGCGGUAAUACGUAGGUGGCAAGCGUUGUCCGGAAUUAUUGGGCGUAAAGAGCGCGUAGGCGGUAUGAUAAGUCUGUCUUAGAAGUGCGGGGCUUAACCCCGUGAGGGGACAGAGACUGUCAUACUAGAGUCUCGGAGAGGAAAGCGGAAUUCCUAGU